GACGAACGCUGGCGGCGUGCUUAACACAUGCAAGUCGAACGGAAAGGCCCUGCUUUUGUGGGGUGCUCGAGUGGCGAACGGGUGAGUAACACGUGAGUAACCUGCCCUUGACUUUGGGAUAACUUCAGGAAACUGGGGCUAAUACCGGAUAGGAGCUCCUGCUGCAUGGUGGGGGUUGGAAAGUUUCGGCGGUUGGGGAUGGACUCGCGGCUUAUCGGCUUGUUGGUGGGGUAGUGGCUUACCAAGGCUUUGACGGGUAGCCGGCCUGAGAGGGUGACCGGCCACAUGACGACUGCGAUACGGCCCAGACUCCUAUGGGAGGCAGCGGGGGGGAAUAUUGCACAAUGGGCGGGAGCCUGAUGCAGCAACGCCGCGUGCGGGAUGACGGCCUUCGGGUUGUAAACCGCUUUCGCCUGUGACGAAGCGUGAGUGACGGUAAUGGGUAAAGAAGCACCGGCUAACUACGUG
rnacentral:rRNA from 1 species